rnacentral:rRNA from 1 species
GACGUAGGGCGCAAGCGUUGUCCGGAUUUAUUGGGCGUAAAGAGCUCGUAGGCGGCUCGUUGCGUCGGCUGUGAAAUCCCUCGGCUCAACUGAGGAUCGUCGAUCGAUACUGCCGUUCUUGAGGAUUGCAGAGGAGACUGGAAUUCCCGGUGUAGCGGUGAAAUGUGUAGAGAUCGGGAGGAACACCGGUGGCGAAGGCGGGUCUCUGGGCAAUUCCUGACGCUGAGGCGCGAAAGCGUGGGGAGCAAACGGG